UAUUUUAUUUUUCCCACAAAAACAAUGUUCACAGUGUACAUCCCAACCAACACAAAGUAGUAGUUUAGCAGAAUUGGUUCAGAGGGUUGGUGCAUUAGUUACAUGUUGUGGUCAUUGUGUCUCAAGUACCAGUAUUUGUGUGUAAACAAUUGAGAAAAAGUGUAAUAAAAACAGAUUUUAGCUCUGAGUUAGUUCAUGUGGAACUUCACUGUUUGAACUGCUGCUGGUUGUUGUCCGCUGUUAGCUAAAGGCUGUCUGACGGUGAGGUGAAGAGGUGAAGAGAUGAAGAUGUGAAGAGGUGAAGAUGUGAAGAGAUGAAGAGGUGAAGAGAUGAAGAUGUGAAGAGGUGAAGAGAUGAAGAGAUGAAGAUGUGAAGAGAUGAAGAUGUGAAGAGGUGAAGAGAUGAAGAGAUGAAGAGGUGAAGAGGUGAAGAGAUGAAGAGGUGAAGAGAUGAAGAUGUGAAGAGGUGAAGAGAUGAAGAGAUGAAGAGGUGAAGAGGUGAAGAGAUGAAGAGGUGAAGAGAUGAAGAUGUGAAGAGGUGAAGAGAUGAAGAGGUGAAGAGAUGAAGAGGUGAAGAGGUGAAGAGGUGAAGAGAUGAAGAGGUGAAGAGAUGAAGAGGUGAAGAGAUGAAGAUGUGAAGAGGUGAAGAUGUGAAGAGGUGAAGAGAUGAAGAUGUGAAGAGGUGAAGAGAUGAAGAUGUGAAGAGGUGAAGAGAUGAAGAUGUGAAGAGAUGAAGAGGUGAAGAGAUGAAGAGGUGAAGAGGUGAAGAGCUGAAGAGGUGAAGAGGUGAAGAGGUGAAGAGAUGAAGAGAUGAAGAGAUGAAGAUGUGAAGAGGUGAAGAGAUGAAGAGAUGAAGAGGUGAAGAGAUGAAGAGAUGAAGAGGUGAAGAGAUGAAGAUGUGAAGAGGUGAAGAGAUGAAGAGGUGAAGAGAUGAAGAUGUGAAGAGGUGAAGAGGUGAAGAGAUGAAGAGGUGAAGAGAUGAAGAGGUGAAGAGAUGAAGAUGUGAAGAGGUGAAGAUGUGAAGAGGUGAAGAGAUGAAGAUGUGAAGAGGUGAAGAGGUGAAGAGGUGAAGAGGUGAAGAGGUGAAGAGGUGAAGAGGUGAAGAGAUGAAGAGAUGAAGAGGUGAA